GUGAUAUAGCAGUGAUAGUGUGAUGUGGUGAUAUAGCAGUGAUAGUGAGGUGAUGGUGAUAUAGCAAUGAUAGUGAGGUGAUGGUGAUAUAGCAGUGAUAGUGAGGUGAAGGAAAUAUAGCAGUGAUGGUGCAGUAGUGGUGAUGUAGCAAUGAUAGUGAUA